rnacentral:rRNA from 1 species
UACGUAGGGACCAAGCGUUGUUCGGAUUUACUGGGCGUAAAGGGCGCGUAGGCGGCGCGGUAAGUCACUUGUGAAAUCUCUGAGCUUAACUCAGAGUGGCCAAGUGAUACUGCAGUGCUAGAGUGUGGAAGGGGCAAUCGGAAUUCUUGGUGUAGCGGUGAAAUGCGUAGAUAUCAAGAGGAACACCUGAGGUGAAGACGGGUUGCUGGGCCAACACUGACGCUGAGGCGCGAAAGCCAGGGGAGCAAACGGG